AUUGAACGCUGGCGGCAGGCCUAACACAUGCAAGUCGAGCGGAUGAAGGGAGCUUGCUCCUGGAUUCAGCGGCGGACGGGUGAGUAAUGCCUAGGAAUCUGCCUGGUAGUGGGGGAUAACGUCCGCAAACGGGCGCUACUACCGCCUACUUCCUGAGGGAGCUAGUGGGGGAUCUUCGGACCUCUCCCUCUCUGAUGAGCCUAGGUCGGAUUAGCUAGUUGGUGGGGUAAAGGCCUACCAAGGCGACGAUCCGUAACUGGUCUGAGAGGAUGAUCGGUCACACUGGAAGUGAGACACGGUCAAGACUACUACGGGAGGCAGCAGUGGGGAAUAUUAGACAAUGGGGGAAAGCCUGAUCCAGCCAUGCCGCGUGUGUGAAGAAGGUCUUCGGAUUGUAAAGCACUUUAAGUUGGGAGGAAGGGCAGUAAGUUAAUACCUUGCUGUUUUGACGGUACCAACAGAAUAAGCACCGGCUAACUUCGUG
rnacentral:rRNA from 1 species